rnacentral:rRNA from 1 species
AGUGAACGCUGGCGGUAGGCCUAACACAUGCAAGUCGAACGGCAGCACAGUAAGAGCUUGCUCUUACGGGUGGCGAGUGGCGGACGGGUGAGGCAUACAUCGGAAUCUACUUUUUCGUGGGGGAUAACGUAGGGAAACUUACGCUACUACCGCAUACGACCUACGGGUGAAAGCAGUGGAUCUUCGGACCUUGCGCGAUUGAUUGAGCCGAUGUCGGAUUAGCUAGUUGGCGGGGUAAAGGCCCACCAAGGCGACGAUCCGUAGCUGGUCUGAGAGGAUGAUCAGCCACACUGGAACUGAGACACGGUCCAGACUCCUACGGGAGGCAGCAGUGGGGAAUAUUGGACAAUGGGCGCAAGCCUGAUCCAGCCAUACCGCGUGGGUGAAGAAGGUCUUCGGGUUGUAAAGCCCUUUUGUUGGGAAAGAAAAGCAGCAGGUGAAUACCCCGCUGUUCUGACGGUACCCAAAGAAAAAGCACCGGCUAACUUCGUG